GUUAACCGUAUAGGGGAGCCGGAGGGAAACCGAGUCUUAAUUGGGCGUUAAGUUGCAGGGUAUAGACCCGAAACCCGGUGAUCUAGCCAUGGGCAGGUUGAAGGUUGGGUAACACUAACUGGAGGACCGAACCGACUAAUGUUGAAAAAUUAGCGGAUGACCUGUGGCUGGGGGUGAAAGGCCAAUCAAACCGGGAGAUAGCUGGUUCUCCCCGAAAGCUAUUUAGGUAGCGCCUCGUGAAUUCAUCUCCGGGGGUAGAGCACUGUUUCGGCUAGGGGGCCAUCCCGGCUUACCAACCCGAUGCAAACUGCGAAUACCGGAGAAUGUUAUCACGGGAGACACACGGCGGGUGCUAACGUCCGUCGUGAAGAGGGAAACAACCCAGACCGCCAGCUAAGGUCCCAAAGUCAUGGUUAAGUGGGAAACGAUGUGGGAAGGCCCAGACAGCCAGGAUGUUGGCUUAGAAGCAGCCAUCAUUUAAAGAAAGCGUAAUAGCUCACUGGUCGAGUCGGCCUGCGCGGAAGAUGUAACGGGGCUAAACCAUG
rnacentral:rRNA from 1 species